GAUGAAGAACGCAGUAAAAUGCGAUAAGUAAUGUGAAUUGCAGAAUUCAGUGAAUCAUCGAAUCUUUGAACGCACCUUGCGCCCUUUGGCUAUUCCGAAGGGCAUGCCUGUUUGAGUAUCAUGAACACCUCAACUCUCAUGGUUUGCCAUGAUGAGCUUGGACUUUGGGGGUCUUGCCGGCCUAUGGGUCGGCUCCUCUCAAAUUAAUCAGCUUGCCAGUGUUUGGUGGCAUCACAGGUGUGAUAACUAUCUACGCUUGUGGUUUUCCAUCAGGUAACCUUCAGUGAUGGAAGUUCGCUGGGGCUCAUAAAUGUCUCUCCUCAGUGAGGACAGCUUUUUUGAACGUUUGAUCUCAAAUCAGGUAGGACUACCCGCUGAACUUAAGCAUAUCAAUAAGCGGAGGA
rnacentral:misc_RNA from 1 species